rnacentral:rRNA from 1 species
AUUGAACGCUGGCGGCAUGCCUUACACAUGCAAGUCGAACGGUAACAGGUCUUCGGAUGCUGACGAGUGGCGAACGGGUGAGUAAUACAUCGGAACGUGCCCGAUCGUGGGGGAUAACGAGGCGAAAGCUUUGCUAAUACCGCAUACGAUCUACGGAUGACAGCGGGGGAUCUUCGGACCUCGCGCGGACGGAGCGGCCGAUGGCAGAUUAGGUAGUUGGUGGGAUAAAAGCUUACCAAGCCGACGAUCUGUAGCUGGUCUGAGAGGAUGAUCAGCCACACUGGGACUGAGACACGGCCCAGACUCCUACGGGAGGCAGCAGUGGGGAAUUUUGGACAAUGGGCGAAAGCCUGAUCCAGCCAUGCCGCGUGCAGGAUGAAGGCCUUCGGGUUGUAAACUGCUUUUGUACGGAACGAAAAGCCUCUUUCUAAUAAAGAGGGGUCAUGACGGUACCGUAAGAAUAAGCACCGGCUAACUACGUG